AGGAGGUCAAUGAGAGCCGAGACUUAUCAGGGGAUAAUAAUAAGUCCACGCGGCGAAUCCAACACUACAAGAACACUAAGAGCACUCCUAUUGGAACAAAAGAAAAUGAUGUAAUAAAAAAAAGUAGGAAGAGAUAAUGAAAGAAAUAAGAAUCGUUUUUUUAAUUAUAUUUAUUUUACUGCCCGAAAACUGAUAAAAAGGUUUUGAUUACAAGCGUCGGUUCGUACAAAAUUUCCCAUAUCAAACUACUCCUAGCUAGUUUCGUUUGACCCAUAUCCUCGGCACAUUCCGCUAGAUCGGAUUCAUAAUCCUCGACAGCCAUUUACCGUUCUUUACCAUUGACAAUGACCACAUGAAUGAGAGAUUCACCUCGUUUCAUCGGACGCCGGGGUUUUCCAUAUCGCUUCCCGAAUAGCUAGCUCACAACGAACUUAUCUAGACUUGUAAUCAUCACCAUCGAUGAAGCGCAAGCGAGAGUGAUGGAAGGUUCCAAAGAUGCUCAUGAGUAGAAUCCCGAAACUGCUGUACAACCAUCUCCACCGCCAAGAACAAUGCAUGAAAACGGGUUUGAGUAGCAACCGCCUCGAUGAUCAAAGAGAGCCCUUAAACCUGCACAAAGAAAGAGAGGAGCACUACCAAUAAGGGUCAAGAGACCAAUCACCGGUACUGGGAUAUGCUAAUCGCCAAUUGGAGUCACCACCGAACACCAAAGAGCCGUAGACCACCUCGACUGAAGAAGAAACGACGCCAAUUGCCUCUACCGAAAACCGAUAGAUGGACAACUUGUGACUGUGAGAUAUGUCUACGGUAACAUACGCAGACAAGAUUCGAAAUGGAACCAGCUCUCCCUUACGGACUAGACGCCAAAGCCGUCAAGUUCGAACAACCCGAGGCCCAAUAGUGGAGAGAAACUGAAAGGAAGGCCGGAGGAACCACACACGCACAGCCAUAGACGACUGCGAGUACACAGCUCACCGAGACUUCACACGCCUAAGUCGGAGACAUGCGCUACCACACAGCAGCCAACCAACCUCUGGACGCACCAAGACGCCUUUGCAAGUAAAAGGGCCUUCCAAUUAGCAAAUCUAGUCUCUUUAAUAAUGGGCCCUCAAAACCUGGUGGAGGACUGGGUAUUUAAAUUUCAAACAGUUUGGGCAUGUGGAUAAUUUUUCCUAAUUUGUGUAAUUAAUCGUUCUUGUCGCGAUCAAUGUUCUAGAAGACAAAUACAUCAAGAAUCUAGUGGAAUUAGUUGCUUUCAUAGGAUAACCAGCUCAUCACCUAGGCUUCGUAUAUAAGUAAUUCUUAAUUUAAAGAAAC
rnacentral:lncRNA from 1 species